UUACAACUUUCAACAACGGAUCUCUUGGUUCUGGCAUCGAUGAAGAACGCAGCGAAAUGCGAUAAGUAGUGUGAAUUGCAGAAUUCAGUGAAUCAUCGAAUCUUUGAACGCACAUUGCGCCCCUUGGUAUUCCAUGGGGCAUGCCUGUUCGAGCGUCAUU
rnacentral:rRNA from 1 species